rnacentral:rRNA from 2 species
CCGGCGAUGUCCGAAUGGGGAAACCCAGUGCAAUUCGUUGCACUAUCGUUAACUGAAUACAUAGGUUAACGAGGCGAACCGGGGGAACUGAAACAUCUAAGUACCCCGAGGAAAAGAAAUCAACCGAGAUUCCCCCAGUAGCGGCGAGCGAACGGGGAGCAGCCCAGAGUCUGAAUCAGCUUGUGUGUUAGUGGAACGGUCUGGAAAGUCCGACGGUACAGGGUGAUAGUCCCGUACACCAAAAUGCACAGGUUGUGAACUCGAAGAGUAGGGCGGGACACGUGGUAUCCUGUCUGAAUAUGGGGGGACCAUCCUCCAAGGCUAAAUACUCCUGACUGACCGAUAGUGAACCAGUACCGUGAGGGAAAGGCGAAAAGAACCCCGGCGAGGGGAGUGAAAAAGAACCUGAAACCGUGUACGUACAAGCAGUGGGAGCACCUUCGGGUGUGACUGCGUACCUUUUGUAUAAUGGGUCAGCGACUUAUAUUCUGUAGCAAGGUUAACCGUAUAGGGGAGCCGCAGGGAAACCGAGUCUUAACUGGGCGUUAAGUUGCAGGGUAUAGACCCGAAACCCGGUGAUCUAGCCAUGGGCAGGUUGAAGGUUGGGUAACACUAACUGGAGGACCGAACCGACUAAUGUUGAAAAAUUAGCGGAUGACUUGUGGCUGGGGGUGAAAGGCCAAUCAAACCGGGAGAUAGCUGGUUCUCCCCGAAAGCUAUUUAGGUAGCGCCUCGUGAA